GAUAGGAUGUUAGCAUAUUGAG
rnacentral:siRNA from 1 species